rnacentral:rRNA from 1 species
GUGUCCUACGGGAGGCAGCAGUGAGGAAUAUUGGUCAAUGGGAGAGAUCCUGAACCAGCCAAGCCGCGUGAGGGAAGACGGCCCUAUGGGUUGUAAACCUCUUUUGUCGGAGAACAAAACCCGGGACGAGUCCCGGACUGCGUGUAUCCGAAGAAAAAGCAUCGGCUAACUCCGUGCCAGCAGCCGCGGUAAUACGGAGGAUGCGAGCGUUAUCCGGAUUUAUUGGGUUUAAAGGGUGCGUAGGCGGUCCGUUAAGUCAGCGGUAAAAUUGCGGGGCUGAACCACGUCGAGCCGUUGAAAAUGGG